rnacentral:rRNA from 1 species
CCUACGGGAGGCAGCAGUGGGGAAUAUUGGACAAUGGGGGCAACCCUGAUCCAGCCAUGCCGCGUGUGUGAAGAAGGCCCUCGGGUUGUAAAGCACUUUCAGUGAGGAAGAACGCCUGGUGGUUAAUACCCAUCAGGAAAGACAUCACUCACAGAAGAAGCACCGGCUAACUCCGUGCCAGCAGCCGCGGUAAUACGGAGGGUGCGAGCGUUAAUCGGAAUUACUGGGCGUAAAGCGCGCGUAGGUGGCUUGAUAAGCCGGUUGUGAAAGCCCCGGGCUCAACCUGGGAACGGCAUCCGGAACUGUCAAGCUAGAGUGCAGGAGAGGAAGGUAGAAUUCCCGGUGUAGCGGUGAAAUGCGUAGAGAUCGGGAGGAAUACCAGUGGCGAAGGCGGCCUUCUGGACUGACACUGGCACUGAGGUGCGAAAGCGUGGGUAGCAAACAGGAUUAGAUACCCUAGUAGUC